CGCCUCCGCCAGCAGCCCCGGCCCGACGCGCACCAGGGAGACUUACCCGCGAAGGAACUUCCCUCUGUAGAGCCAGAAGUCAUGGUCUGAUGAGGUUCUUGGGCCAUCAGAGGCUGAAAAUGAUACCAACUCCCCCUCAUGUCCUAUACAGAACCAAGCAUGAGCAAACGCGGUGGAUACAGACCAUUGUGUUAAAGCACUGGAAGCAGCCAAGACGUUGGAUACCAUGUGUCAGAUCCUCAAAAAGUAAGAGUCAAAUUCACCUAGAUAGAAGCUAAACUAGUGG
ensembl:lncRNA